AAAAAAAAAAAAAAAAAAGAAAACUCUGGAUUCUGAGACCUCUGGCCUUUUUUUUAAGAAUGUUGCUUCUGGACUCUGGAACUUAAAUUCCAUUCCAUUCCAUUUCCACGCGUGAGUUUUGCACAAAUAAUUGUGCUGUACAUUGAGGACAAUCUGGUUCUGCUUGAUGCUUUUAUUUCCCUUUUAAAAAAGAAAUUUUUGUACAUGCAUAGGUGGGUGGUGGAGGGAGGGGGAAAUAAGUUCAUGAAAUUUGAUGUUCUUGUGUUUAUACGUGCCUUUUGACUUUCAAUUAAAAAAAAAAAAACUAAUUUGUUCGUUGAGUGCUACAGGAUUAGAGAGAAUGUUGUAAACUGUACUUCAGCUGCAAGCCUUUUCACUCAACUAAUUUGCGCUGCUGUGUGUAUAUUCUUGAUUGUUGGACUCGCGAUUUGUGAUGACGCUGAGCGAAAUAAAUCACAUUCCAAUGUUCGGAUCUCAUCGUACCGGGCAUCGUUCCUGGGCAGCCACACCGAGCCUCCUUGGCUCCUCCGCUGGAGCAGAAGGAGCAGCAGUGGAACACUCCGGCGUGAUGCCUCAGCUUCUUCUUCACAAUCAAAACAAAUGGAGAACCCUGCAGAACAGGACACAAGUCGCUCGAUGAAGCGAACCGCUAUUGAUGCCGACGGGCCGUUGGGCUGCCGACCUCCUGCUCCAGAGGCUACCUGAUCAUUAGAAACAAUAGUGUUAUGGCGAUGAUAUUGCACAACAAUCACAUUUUGACCCUUCCUGUCUAUUGGUUUCUCAAUACGCUUAUCCAGCGGGUGUGCAGCCGGCAUCGUUCGGCCCGUGAGGUAAGUUUUAGUUAACCUAUAAAUUGAACUCUUAUUUUGAAAAGCAAGCUUUUAAUUUGCAAGCGGUUUGACUCGCGUGAUGUGCAAUGCACAAAGCUGAAAGAGAUACAAAAAAAUAAUAAUAAUUAAAAAAAAAAAAAAAAAAAGAUCAUCGCGGGCGGCACGCCUCCAAUCCGUAUGCAGUAGGAGACUUGUGUAACUCCUGCAGAAGCAAUGCCAAUACAAUAUGUAUCAUAUCAUGUAUUGUUUGUCAAAUCGUUUCAUGUGCACAUGUAAAGCUAAAAAUGAGUUUGUGAACGCUCGGAUAAAAACGGUUGGGUUUUACUUCUUUCUAUGGGGUGACCUCCACGUUGCCUUAAUUAUACCACAUGACCUCGCGUAACACUGUCGGGACCUUACGUGACCCCGUCUGGCCUCGUGUGAGCAUUUGAAGCGCCAAACUUUGGUUCAUAACCCUUUAAAGUACCAAUUUUAUAGCAUGUGAUACUUUAAUUCUUUUAUAACCGUUGUAUUGUUUUAGGAUCGGUUAAAGGGAGCCGUAACGAUGUCACAUACUCAAAACAAACCCAUAAAGGUCAAAGCCAUACAUGUCAUGGGUCAUUAAAUCACUCGUUUGACAUAAGGCUGCCUUCUAUUAUUUUUUCAUAGCGUAUACAGCAUACAUAAAGACGCCACGGCAAUUUCCAUCCCCGGUAAAAAAUAAAAAAUUAGACGGCACGGUGAAUGACUGGCUAGAGCGUCAGCCUCACAGUUCUGGGGACCGGGGUUCAAUCCCCGGCCCCGCCUGCGUGGAGUUUGCAUGUUCUCCCCGUGCCUGCGUGGCUUUUCUCCGGGCACUCCGCUUUCCUCCCGCAUCCCGAAAACAUGCAUCGUUAGGUUGAUUGAAGACUCAAAAUUGCCCGUAAGUGUGAAUGUGAAUGCGAAUGGUUGUUUGUUUCGGUGUGUGCCAUGUGAUUGGCUGGCGACCGGUUCAGGGUGUACCCCGCCUCCUGCCCGAUGAUAGCUGGGAUAGGCGCCGGCGCUCCCGCGACCCCUGUGAGGAUAAGCGGCUCAGAUAAUGGAUGGAAAUAAAACAUUUUUAAAAAGUCACAUUUUUAGUGGCGUUCCUCAGGGAAAUGUUUGAGGUCAAUUCAUUUUCUAGUUGAAAGGAUGACCCUUCCUCAACUUUGUAGGUACACUACCAAUCAGUGUGGACACAGUUCCUCUUUUAAUACCACUAGAAAGUAGUCAGUGGGGUCAAAUUGUGGAACAGGUUGGAGGUGAAGCUGACGCAAUGUCCAGAUGUUUAUCGACUUGAAUCAGGGUUCAAAGAAACGGCUCGGUCACGGUACAAGAUCGAGGCAGGGCUUUGACUGUGGUGCUUUCAGGGAUGAUGAUUUGAUAUUUACUUUUACACAUGCAUGAUGCAUGUAUGGAGGGAUGUCCCGAGCCAACUUUUUCACUUCAGCUCCGAUUCCGGAGCCUUGAAUUUUGUCCGAUAUCAGCAAUAAUCAGACAUACAUAUAUUUGCUGUGGAGAAUGUUAGAAAAGGCUUGAUGAAGUCACAUUGCAUAAACAGAGAACAAUAAUUAGCACACUGACCCACUUAUUAUUAACCAAUGGAUGACAUUCAUAUCCAUAAAUUAUUAACCAAUGGAUUAUAUAAAGUAACUGUAAAAAUAAAAAUGUACGACAAUUGCAUAAAAUCAAUUACCGAAACACAUCACACGAUCAAACUUUUCUGCCGGCGGAACGCUGAACUGACGCUUGGAUCAAUGUGAGUGGGGUGGCCAGCAAAAGUAUAGAUACCCCCUGAUGGUGCCCCUGGCUACUGUAUCCCAAUACGUUUGAAUCCAUACAUAAAGUAGCUACGCUUAGUCAUGUUGUACCUUCACGUGUUGCGCUUUGACACAAACCCACACGGAGUAGAUUCCGGCUUCGUCGGGUGUGUAGGAAACUUCGUAAGAGCCGUCGUUGUUGUCCACCACUGUGCUUUCCACCACGCUGAAAGAAAAAGGACAGUUCCUUUUGAUACUUAAGUCAUUUGAGGGAUUGUAUUUUCAGUGUCGUAUCAGAAAGGAAAUCAGUGGAAGAUACACAAAAGGAGCACAUCGAGGCACAAUUUCAGCGUCGCAAAAAACAAAAUCUAAUUGCGGCGGCCAAUAUUUAUUGGUGGGUUUCCCAAAUAUAUAUAUGUGGGAAACCCUGAACAUACAGCCCAUACAACCACUUAAACGGAACGAGGGUAAAAGUGAUGAGAAUUCUCCUUUUCAUGGUAAGGACAUUAGUCAACUCAUUUGUAAAUUCCUAAUUUAAACCAUUAAAAUGAUUAUUGUUUUCUAUGAAUGACAGUGUAUCCAUAUGUUGUGCAUCUUGGGUAAAAGAUGUUUGAUGUUUUUUCCCCCAAAAGCUGAUUCUGCAUUAUUUGUGCGUACGAUUGGUCUGAGGGUGUUCUAAAUUUGUUUGCAGAGUACGAACAAAAUCAAAUACGAACAUGUUGAUGGAAAUCACAGGUUUGCUCGUCAAACGUAAGUACGCACAAUUUAAGCACAGAUCUGUGCAUAUGCACAGUUAGUGAAUGAAGCCCAUUGACUGGGAACUGAACCCAAACUACCUGCACCGAAGUCAAGCGAGUAUACUAAUACCCCAUCAGUAACAUUGGUUCCCAGUCUGUCGCUUUACACGCGUCUACUUCGUCACCUCACUGGUUUGCUAUCUUUUCCGGAACCAUUUACGAAGUCCAUUCGCAAUUUCUUCCUAACCCAGUUUCCACUGGAUUCAUUUGUAUUUUUUUAGCCAAUAACAAAAAAUAAAUAAAACAUUUUCAUUUUGGUUUAUAUCUGGCAGCGCAACCCCAAACAGGUCAGUAGUAAUCACUCGUGUUCUGCCACCCAGAAGUACCCUGUUACAAACAUUUUGAAUCGGUCUUUAGCGAAUGGAUGGGUGGGUAGGUGGAUGGGUUUGAUGUAUGCAUGGAUAGAUAAAUAGUUCAUGUGUCCUCACCAGUUCUUCUUCUCUCUGUGAAUGAUGCUGACCAGGACGUGAUCCCCGCCGUGUGCCAUCUGGUCCUCGGCGGAGUCUCGGCAAACCAGGGUAAAGUGAGCCCGCUGGCCCUCAUUGGCCUGCUGUAGACCUAUGGACAUAGCAAUGGGUGGGGGCAGAUACAUGUUUUCAUAUUUGGGUUGCACAUGCAGGCAUCCAGCGAGAUGUCAGAGCGAAAGGGGAGUUCAAACAGUGCUGUGCCUCUUGAUCUGGGGGAUGGUGCCUCAAGAGCACCUCGACAUUAGCCAGGAUGACGAGCAUCCCUCUAACAACUAGUUGACAUUUUUUCUCUGCAGCGGGGCUUUUAACCAUGACCCUCCGGCUCCAAAGCCCAAGCCCAAGACUCAAUACCAUCUGACUUCUUCAAAGCUAUUGCAAAGUCUGUGCUAGCUGAUUUGCAGGAAAUAAUUAAUUGCCUACUUCAGUCAGGUGAGUUUCCUAAAGCUCUUAAAAGUAGCUCCCAUUAAGCUAAAAAUUAGAACGGUGGACACUUCCAUGUCAGCAAGCUAUAGACCCAUCUCAAAUUUCCCUUUCAUAGCCAAGAUUGUUGAGAAAGUUGAGAAAUUGUGGACAUCGUGUCCUCCGGGCCAAAGAGGAAAAGAGCCAUUCGGACUGAUAUGGAUGCAAAGUUCAAAAGCCACCAUCUGUGAUGGUCUGGGGCUGUGUUAGUGUCAAUGGCAUGGGUAACUUACACAUUCUGUGAAGGCACCAUUAAUGCUGAAAGGUACAUACAGGUUUUGGAGAAACAUGCUGCCAUCCAAGCAACGGCUUUUUCAUGGACGCCCCUGCUUAUUUCAGCAAGACAAUGCCGAACCACAUUCUGCACGUGUUACAACAGCGUGGCUUCCUAGUAAAAGAGUGCGGGUACUAGACUGGCCUGCCUGCAGUCCAGACCUGUCUCCCAUUGAAAAUGUGUGGCGCAUUAUGAAGCGUUUAACACAACGCCCCAACUUCAAUGGAAUCGGGGUUGUAGGCUUGCCUGUGCCAAGCAGACCAGCAGAAGUUCAUCCAUGCUUUUAUCUCAAGUUGACUUGACUCUUGCAGUCCAGUCAGGUAUUCUGACUGGACUGCCCCAAAAGAGCAUUAAACAGCUGUAGCUCAUUCAGAAUGCUGCAGCUCGGGUUCUGACCAGAACAAAGAGGUGAGAGCAUAUUACUCCAAUUCUCAAGUCUGUACACUGGCUCCCAGUCAUCUUUAAGAAUAGACUUUAAAGUUCUGCUAGUGGUCUAUAAAUCACUAAAUGGUUUCGGUCCUGAAUACUUGAAAAAAAAUGUUAAUGGUAUAUAAAACCGGGUGGGCUCUGAGAUCCACAGACUCAGAUCAAAUAGUGGCAUCCAAAGCAAACAUGGUGAAGCAGCAUUUAGACAAAUGGAAUCAGUUGCCAGCAGAAGUGAUGGGUCAGCCCCAAGUGUGAAUGUUUUUAAGUCCAGGUUAAAAACUCUUGCUUUUUAGAUCAUUUCCACUUUUAAAUGAUAUUUCUUGCACUUUCUGCUGAUUUAAUUGUACUUUUAUUUUUUUCCCCCUCUUUGUUUGAAAUGUUUAUAAGCCGUUUUUUUCUGUUUUAAAAUGCUUUUAAUUAUGUAAAGCAUAUCGAGUUAUCUUGUGUAGGAAAUGCGCAAUAUAAAUACAUUUGCUUUGCUUUGGAAAAGGUUCCAUAAGUAUCGCUAAAAGUCUCGAUGUUCAUGAGUCCAUGGUUAGACAAAUUGUCUAUCGAUGGAGAAAGUUCAGCACUGUUGCUUCUCUGCGCUGCAAAGAUGACUGCAAGAGCACAGCGCAAAAUGCUCAUCGAGGUAAAAAAGAACCCUCGAGUAUCAGCUGAAAACUUACAGAAAUCACUGGUAUAUGCCAACAUCUCUGUUGCCAAAUCUAUUAUAAGUCAAAUAUGAAACAAUAAUUGGGUUAAUGGGAGAAGACCAACGAGGAAGCCAUUGCUGUCUAAAAAAACACUGCUGCACGUUUGAGGUUUGCUAAAGAGCACUUGCAGAGGCGGACCUGGACCAAAUGCCGCCCUGUGCGAGGGUCAUCAAUUGCACCGCCCUGGCCGAUCGGGGGGAGUGUCGCUCCCCGCAGGAUGCUGCCCUGGGCGUCUGUCUAUAUGGCCCAUAUCAGAAACUGCCACUGAGCACUUGGAUGUUCUACAGCACUACUGGCAAAAUAUUCAUAAGAAUGGAUGAAACCAACGUUUAAUCAUUUGAGAGGAACACACAACGCCAUGUGUGGAGGAAAAAUGGCGCAGCACACCAACAUCAAAACCUUAUGCCAACUGUGAAGCAUGGUGGCGCAUCAUGGUAUGGGUAUGCUAGAGGAAAUUGAGGACAUCUGUUCAACAGUUGAAGUUCAAAACAGGGUCGAGGUUGCAACAGGACAAUGAUGCAAAAAAAAAAAAAAAAAAAAAAAGACAAAAGCAAAUCAACACCAGAAUAGCUUCAGAAGAAGAUCAGUGAAACCAGUCAAAGCCCAGACCUCAACCCAAUUGCGAUGCUGUGGCAUGACCUCAAGACAGUUAUUCACACCAGACAUCCCAGGAAUCAAACAGUUGUAUAACGAGGAAUGGUCCAAAAUUCAUCCUAAUCAUUGCGCACGUCUGAUCUGCAACUACAGGAAAUGUUUGGUUGAUGUUAUUGCUACCCUUUAAAGGAGGGUCAAUCCAAAGGUUGACUUAAUUUUCACUCCCUGUCCUGUGAAUGUUUACUUGUUAUGGUCGAAAAAACUAAAAAACUAUAUAAUUGUUUGUGUGGCAUGAGUUUAAGCAGACUGUUUGUUUAUUCUUGUGAUUUAGAUGAAGAUCAGACUACAUUUUAUGACCAAUUUAUGCAGAAAUUGAAGAAACUGAAUGAGGUCCAACCACUGAACUCGCCAUCAUUCUAAACUUCUGUUCAUAACGCCUCACCUUCUCCAUCUAUAGUGCACUUGCUGGGGUCCAGAGCCUUAAAAUGGAUCACGCCCACCAUUGGGUAGCCGCUCACCUCCCUCGCCGGCCCCCGGGGAUCAAAACGAAUACCAGCGCCGUCAUCGGGGAUGAGCGCCGCCAGCUGGUCAUCAGAGCUGCUCUCCACCAGGCUGCUCAGCCUCCGCAGCGUCACACCCUUAGCGCUAAGGAUCUUGGCAUCCGAGCCACACCUCAGCAGCCUAUCCGCAAAGUCCACACUUCCCCGGACGUCCGACAGUGCCUGCUGCAGCUGCGCCCUCUGCACAUGCAGUUGGUUCCUGCCAAACAAUGGGAAUGACUCCUAAAUGAACAGCAUUCAAAUUGUCAUUCGGCAUGUUAACGCUCAAAACAGUUUUCAGCAUAUCAACAGCCAAGAUUUCAUUCAAGGAGGUAGGGGGGUUUUAAUAGUCCAUAUUUCACUAACACGGAUAAUUUUGCCUCUGCCAGGAUAAAUCUAUUUUUUGUCUAUGUUCUAGAUUGGACAAAAACAUUGGUGCCCUUUCCAUUAAAUCUUGAACAGGCAUAGGGUAUACUGACACAUGCAAUAUCAAAGUGAUAAUAGUUCACAAUCCAGAUCUUUAGGUAAUCUAUCAAACAGUCUAUCAUCUCCGGACCACCACCAGCUGCUGCUCCGUGAUACUGGCAUAAAUUUUGGUCCGACUUUUAAGGUUACUUUACACCGUGUGUCGUUAAGUGGUCCUAUUUUUUUUUUUCCUUUACUAAUCAUGUUUAUACAAGUGAAAUUAUUCGGUGCUACUAGAAUAGAAUUUUGUCCCGAAACUCCUGUGACUACAAGGAACCAAUCAUAAGUAGUUAUGUUAUUAACCAUUAAAAUGUGUUCACUUUUCUUUGAAGUUUUUUAAUGGCAUUUCUGGUUCAACACGGUUGCCAUAACACAAUGCUACUCGGAAGUGGGGAUCUUUUUCCACCAGAAUAUGCCCACAAACUCAUCAUCAAACACACUGGGUGACUUGAUUUGUAUUUCAAUAUUAAACUAUGGGCCAUUUUGCUUAUGUUAAACUUCUUUCUAUAUUCUUUUGCUAUUUUUUUGUGACCAACUGGACCAAUCAUAACCUGUUUCACCAAUCCUCAAUUCUGCCCAUUCUCUUGAGCAUCAUUGGUGAGAGCCGCAUAUGGAAUUAUGAUUAAAGUAUCUUGAUUUUGGGAGGCACAAAAUAUUAAACUGUUUUGCCGCAUUUGGAGGUCAUGCCCACAGUUCUGAUCAUCAACUGUACUCCUUUUGGUACGAGUUAAUGCUUCCAAAUUUUUUAUUAUUGGGUUGGUCAUAUUGGUCCAGUUGGUAGGUGAUUUCCUAUCUAAAAAAUGCGUUGUAUCAUUUAUGGUGGGACGCCCCAUGUACCACAAAACAAAAUCAACACUAUAGUAACCAAAGUUGCUAUGUAACAACUCAUCGAAUCUCGUAACCAACGCGGGUGUGCCAUUCUGCUGAGUUCUCACUAAACGGGUUGGUGUCUUUUUUCUUCACUGACCAGCAAGCGUUUUCAGAAUCUACACAUCUGCUCCCGCUCCGUUAUCAGACUUUUGCUCACCUUCCCUAUUUGAGUACUCAGCUGAAAUGACUCUUUUACAGUGUGUUAAAUGAACCCACGUGUUUCUUUCUGCUAUUUUUUAUUGUCCCAUUCAUUCUUUCCACUAUCAUAACAUUUUCGACCAUAUCUUACUCUGCUGCGUCCUCUAAAAUUAUCUCCCUCUUUGCCUCGAUAGUAUUUCUUUUUCUCCUAUCCUUUUUCUCUUUUAGACGCCAUGUUUAGCCAAAAAGUAAGUCGCCAAAUCCAUCUUUUUCCAUUUGUGAUAUAUUAUUUUUUGUGUCGACCCUCUAUUUUGUUUCGAAGUUGAACUAAUUUUUGCGAAUUUAGCUAGCCAGCGAAACCGUAUUUGGUUAUCCGCGUGUUUAAAUGUUUUAUUUUGGAAGGGUUUUGAAGUUGUACACAUUGCCAGUCUUUACACGUCAGGCUUUCUGUUGGAUUCGUUUUAUUGUUAUUGUUUCCCAUUUUUGUGAAUUUGGAAGUCAGUUUAUUUGCACCUAGAGUGACCUAAUACUGACUUUAUUCAAACAAUGACUGGGUGACAAUGAAUGUCUGAGUUAUGGUAAACCUCAACCUUCUACCCCAAAUGGGGCGGAGGAUUCUUGCCUCUGCUUCCAAACUCAGUUGUCACUUACAAUCCAGUCUCUUACAUCCAUACUUUUACACACACACACACGAAAUUAGUAACGUUUUAACAAACACACGAAAACAUGGAAACACGGAAACACAAAGGUACGGAAUUUUAAGUACAUAUUCGCGCAAUGCACCAAAAACACCCCAGACACCUAUUUUCAUGUUAUAUGGGAAUGCACACCAAUUCAAUGGUUUUGGUCUUCGGUUACAGGAUUUCACUUUCCCCAAGAUUCUGCAUACUUGGUGACUUAAGCACAAUCGACCUCCCAAGUAAAUAUUCACAAUAAUUUCUCGUCGCCUUAGCUACCGCUAAGAAAACAAUUCUAUUAAACUGGAAAAACAAACAAGCUAUUAACGUCAAUCAGUGGCUAAUUUAUAUAGUCACUCCCACCACACUUCAGUUGUACAGCCGGGUUCACGACCAUUGUGCUGCAUGCUUCUUCUCCUGUCCUUGUCCUGUCCUAUCCUGUCCUGUACUUCCCUCACAGGGUGUAGCACUACUGCACCAUACGACACUCAUAUCGAUCAUAUCUUUCUUUCAUUGUUCUAGAUAUAUAAUGAUUUAUUUUUCUCAUCUUGUUUACAAUUAGUGCUUUGUCUUUUGUCUUCUUUUGUCACUCCCCACUCGAAACCUUGUUCCGUUCGACUGAUCGACUCUGAUUCUCAAUAAAUAGCCAUUAUAAAACUCAGAAACCACAGGGGCAGCUUAAAAACUCCACUGUGACACAGUAAAACUAUUCAGGCAUAAAAGGGAUACAGAGCCUCCAUUCUGCUUGACCUAACAGCCGAACAGGACAAAAAAAAAACCUGCCUAACAAAGUCGAGUAGACCAAAAGAUCCUCAAAAGCUAGACAUUAUGCCGAGGUCUAAAGAAAUUCAUGAACAAAUGAGAAAGAAAGUAAUUGAGAUCUAUCGGUGUGGAAAAGGUUAUAAAACCAUUUCCAAAGCUUUAGGACUCCAACGAACCACAGUGAUAGCCAUUCUCCACAAAUAGCGAAAAUAUAGACCAGGAGUGAACCUUCCAAGGAGUGACCGGCCGACCAAAAUUACCCAAGAGCGCAGCGACGACUCAUCCAAGAGGUCACAAAAGACCCCACAACAACAUCCAAAGAAUUGCAGUCCUCACUUGCCUCAGUUAAGGUCAGUGUUCAUGACUCUACCAUAAGAAAAAGACUCACAUAGUCUCAAGUGUAAAAUGACCUGCUUAACAAAAGUUGAUGGAUUGAUUGUAUUGCUUUGCAAAAAAAAAAACAAUGGGGAAAAGAGCAACUUUUUCGACAGCAGAGGGCAAUAAUGGCCAAAAUGGCCACCUUUGGGAAUAGGUGAAAUUUGAUGGCUGUAUCUGUGUGUGCAAUGUGUCAUCCAGCGUGUCAACAUCCACAUAAUCCAGCAUGUUGAUGUGUCACGCAAGUAUUCCUGCAUUCAACAUAAUCACCAUCCUACAUCCAGCAUGUUAUCGUCUGACAAAUGCUGUGACAUGUCAACAUCCAGCAUGCCCUCCGUACGGCAACGUGUCAUCCAACAUAUCAAAAUACAAUAUGUCAUCUAGUAUGUAAUCCAACCUAUGUGACAUGUCACCCUAUAUGUCAACAUCCAGCAUCAACCGUGUCAUCAUAUUGGUAUCAUACCUGCGUUGGAGGUGAAGCUCCUCCAGGCGACGCAGCAGGGCCAGGCAGUGAGCUUCCACCGCACUGGCGUAGCCUCGAGCAAAUGUCCUCACCUCAUUGGCUGUGGCCUCCACUCUUGUCUGCAAAGCUUCCUGGGAAACCUCCACCUGGAGACGGUUGUAAAUGUUUACAAACAAAAGAGGAGGCGCCAAAACUAACUCGUCACACCUUCUGCAGUGUUUGCUCCAGUCUUUGCAGGUGAGGUCUCAGGCGGACGGUGACCAGCGUCCUGAUGCGGUCUCCGUGGCACCCGAUGACUUCGUGGGCGGGGCAGCAGCGGUGCUCAGAGUGGAGCGACGCGGCGCAUUCCAGGCACACUGGCGCAUCACAGGGCUUGCAGAAGAGGCGCAACUCCUGGCCGGGAUGGAGGGCACACAGGACGGGGCGGCAGAGGCGACCCUGAGACUUGAGAUCCUCAAACCUCUGAAUGGAAUGAGACGCUGUCCGUGUCUGACGCCUGUGGAUGACAGCGUCAACGUAGAACAGGGAUUCCCAACACGUAAGAGAUCAUCUGGUGUUACCAAGGUGGUGCCCAUGGGCACCAGGUAGCCCGGGAGGACCACACGAAUAGGCCACAAGCCUUUCCUGAAAAUAGCUCACCAGGGCAUUGUGGACAUUGACAUUGUGAUUACCUAGAAAUGUUGGAGAAUUGAUCACUUGAAAAUAUAAACACUUGCAGAGAUUUCCGGAAAUAAAGUGUUUCCUAAUGAUA